rnacentral:ncRNA from 1 species
CUAUGGGAUUAAUUGGUUUGAGCCUUUGUAUCGAAACUUACUAAGUGAUCACUUUCAAAUUUAGAGAAACCUUGGAGUUAACAAAAAAAUCCUAUUUUCUGAAAACAAACAAAAGGUUCAGAAAAAAAGGAUAGGUGCAGAGACUUAGUGGAAGCUAUUCUAACAAAUGGAGUUAAUGUGUUGGUAGAGGAAUCUUUACAUCGAAACUUUUUUAUCCUUAAAGAUCUAGGAUUCCCGUUUCUUGUUUCCGUUUUUGAUUAGGAAGCAAAG